UGUUGAUGUUUAUGUUUUGGUUCUCGCGGAGAAUAAACCGUUAAUUCUGUGGAGUUACUAUACUACUAUUAUUGAAGAAAUGGAGGACAACAGUGCCAAGCGAAGCAAAAACUUUUCGAAACAGGAGUUGGAGGUGUUGGUGGAGGAGGUUGUUUCAAGGCGAAAAUUAUUAAAUGGGAAGUUGGAUAGUGUAGUGACGGCAGAUAAUAAGAAGAGGGCAUGGGCGAAAGUUGCCCAAUCGGUGUCCGCAGUGGGGGAGAUGGAGCGCGAUGCGAGUGCUAUUCAAAAGAAAUGGGCAGACGUAAAAUCCCUCGUCAAAAAAUUUGCUGAGAGGGCGUGGGAGAUGAAGAAGACAGGAGGAGGGAUGUCCUCUGUAAAACAGAGGACGGAACGCCUUGGAGGAGAGGAUUUUGGAAGUUAUAGGGGAAUCUCUGGUAGGAGGAGUUCAAGGAGGGGUAGACACUGGAGACCCCGGCGGAUACAACAGCUGUAUGCAGCUUCUACAGCAGAUACUGAACAGCUGGAGCUGCACCCACCCAAGUCAUCGUACCUCCCCACAUUGAACUUGAAGUUCAACAAAAUAAUUCUGACGAAGAUCAUACUCUGUCCCAACUAAUUUCAGAGUCCAUCCUCCAGCCCACACCAGUGACGACACACAGCAUGGAGGACAUGAUCUUCAUUCAGAGAGACCUUUUGGAGAAAGUGCGGCAACUGAGAAGAGUUCAAGAGCAACUUUUACUGGUGGAGAGAGAGAGAAUGCUCUUGGCCAAAGCCAAAUUUCUUUUCUAACUUGAAUGCCGUUAUUACAUGGGGCGGGGACGGGGCCUUCUCCCUCUGGUUCAUGGUUGUCUGGAACAUCAGGAAGAGGCAGCCGGUACAUCAUGCUGAUGUUAUGUAGGAUGAAGGCACAGGUGAUGAUUUUACACCCCUUUUCAGGGGUGUAUUGGAGCACUCCGCCAGAGCGGUCAAUGCAUCUGAAUCUGGAUUCCACAACCCCAAUGCACCUCUCCACAACACUCCUAGUUUUGCGUUGUGCACCUUUUUGAGUGGGAUCCGGAGGACGUUGCUGCUCUUUGCCGUGCCAAGGAGGGUGAGCUGACAGCACAGAGCAUUGGCCACAUCUCAGAGGAGGCGGUGACCACUCGCAUUAGGCGGAGGGAGUUGGCACGGCACUGCAGGAGGAGGGCCAGAGGGGUGGAGGAGACCACCAGACUGAUUGGGUCAUUGAUCAGUCUGUUCGACAGCGACAGUGGGAAGGACACUCUAGGCGUUCCUCUGCUGUACCAACGUAUCCAGCACAUAUGGCCGGAGCAGGAGAAACACGUAGCCUGUAUCCAAGACCUAGAGGACUUCCAGCUCUACACAAAGACAGGCACCCUGAACAAAGGCGAUGUGGAGCUGUGCUGCUACAGGAACCAGUGCCAGUGAUGCGCAUUUCCAGGCGUAUCUUCUUGAAGGGCAGAUGCGCUAGAAUGAUGACCGGAUGGAGGACGCCGGGAAAGGAUCUUCCGUCCGCUCUUAUGGCAGCACUCUGAGAAGGGCAGUGGACCAGCUCAGCCGAAAGGUGAAUUGUUCGGAAUGGAGUACUUGUACAGCCAUACCGGCAAAGCACUGACUCCAGUGUUCCAGAACCCAGUGGAGGAGGCCAGACUGGUGGAGGAGAUCUAUGAUGAUGACAUUCAAGAUGAGGGAUUUGAAGAAGAGACCACAGAGGACAUCACAGUUCCUGUGCUCCACGAGGAUGACCCCUCCCGUCAACUGCCCUCAUCGCUGAUGGAGAUUCCUCAAGCUUCUCCACCUCAGGCCCCUGCAUCACCUGAUGAUCUGCCGUCCAGGUCAUGUGAUGGAGGACAACAACCUGCUGCUGCCCCUUCAGUACUGCCUGACACCUCUCAGGCUGCACUGGACAGUGAAACCAAUCUGUCCGACGAGGCUCAGUCAUUGGACCGAAAGGGGUCGCUGGGUGGGACAAAGUCCUGGACCUCGUUGCUUACCUGUUGGUUCUCCGUGAGGCAUCUUACCUCACUCAACAGCAGGUGACCCAGGUCAUCCAGCUGUGGACAGCUCUCCCUGACUGUGACAAGAAGCGGGUCAUCUACCAGCCUCGUCAUCAGCGGGCACAUUUUUACAUUUGGCUUUCCUUUGGCAGGCAGCCCGAGCAAAUGCAUGUCGAUUGAUUACAAUUUGUAGCCAACUUAACAUUGUUUUCAAUGCAUAAAGGACCCCAAAAAGGUGAUACUGGAUCACGUGGAAAAUUAAAACAUUAUCACUAUUACUAUUAAUGUAGGUAUUAAAACUGAAUUCAUUCAAAAUAGAAAAAACUCUAGAACCUUAUACCAUGGGGAGAAAAAAAAGCAAUACAUUUUGAUUUGUAUGAUACCGAUCCCGGCUUAUGCUUAAUUUUCCUCCAAUAAACAGAUGAAAUACUUUGUAUGGCAGCUCUUGAUAUGAAGGUGUUUGUGUGCUGAGGAAUAUCUCAGCCACACGGCAUGGACAAUUAUUGUGGCACUUAUGAGGACUUAAAUACAGUCCUCAUAGGGUGUAUUUAAGGCACUAUAGUAAAACUGGUGAAUGAACAUUGAAUUGAAUGCACUAAAACCCACCACCUCCAAUACGGUAAUUUCCUUGAUAUGUUUUACCCAUUGGAACCAAACUUUUGAGGCAGAAAUCGAAACCUAAAAACUGAACCUAGUAGGAAUCCAAAGGCUUGAACCCUUUAGUAACCCCUAUUGUGACCAGACAGCUGAAAUGAAAAACGGGGAGCUUAGUUGUUUGGCCGGCCAUGAACCAACAACACUAUAGGCCUACACCGUUUAUUUGCUAAAUCUGGGGGGAAAAGGAAAGCAAGGCUCGAGUAAAAUCUAGAACAAGCAGAAAAAAUGCCCCCAUUGGUACCCUAGUUACUACUACUAGUACGUACAACCCAACCCUUAGCAAACCAAUCCGUAAACCCAAGAACAAAAAACAAUUAUACCUUUCUCAAUUAAAGAACGUAUUUGCAAAAUUCACAAUGUUACUGUUGAGUAUUUUAAGAAUCUAAGCUACCCACACAUAGACCCAAUGAUGCAGGACCAAACAUAUAAGCUG